CAAAAGAUUCCCAACAAACGGGACCAGCAACGACGUCGGCAGAGUCAAUAAGUUCAAUUUUCAAAAAGAAGAAACACGACGUCAAAAUACACGAAUAUAGACGAAAGCAGCAACAAUAUAUCCUCCAACGUUCACAAGCAGAUGGAAAGUCAUUCACGACGUCAAUAGUGCACCCUACGCCUCUUCUUCUUCAGUCACAGGGAAUUUGCACACAAAAAUAUGAGGUUUGCCCUUGCGGUUGCGAGAUCGUGCUACAUAGCAUGUCAAGAACAAAGGAGUUAAUCGAGUCGUCCGCUUAACCUCCUUUUCGCUCGAUUUUCAUACUGAUAAUGGGCUUGAUUCUUGAAGAAAUUCAAUUUUGAACUUGUUGGGUCUUGUUCUUAUACAAGAUCUUCACUCUUUUCCCCCGAUUUUGAACCCUAAUUUUCUUUCGUAAUUACUAUUUUCUUUUUCAUUGUUAAGGGUUGGAGAAAAAAAUAUUGAGAAUUAACUACAUGAAGAAAUACACAUAAAUUCAUAUAGUUCUUGAAAUCGGGAACCCAGAUUUUGUUCAGCCCUUACUCUCGCAUUCUUCUAUUUUUGUUCUUCAGAGUUCUCUUAUGUGGUUGUGGAAGCUCGCCCUUGUUCGUACUCGUUUCCAUUCCCUACCCGCGACAAGGUUAAAAUUCAUAAUUACGGGGAAAAGAAGCAAGUAAAUAGAAACUGGAGCAGAUAUACAAGGAUAUACAACAAUAUACACUAAGGGGUCGUUUGGUACAAAUAUCAAUAAUGCAAGGAUUAGUAAUGUUGGGAUUAGUAAUACAAGGAUUAAUAGUGCAGGGAUUAUUUUUAGCAAGUGUUUGGUUCAUUGUUUCCCACCUCAUCUUGUGUUUGAAUUAAAACUUUACAAAAAAUUUCUUUUCAAUUAUAUCCUUGAAUUAUUAUGUAAUUGGGUUAAGGUAAAUAAUUGUCGGGCAAUAUUAUUUUUUAUGGCCUUCUAACUAGCUAUGAAAAAAAUAAUUUUGUUGUCA